GCGACAAGCGGUGAGCAUGUGGUUAAUUCGAUGAUACGCGAGAACCUUACCGGGGUUUGACAUGCAGGUGAUCGCCGUUGAAAGACGGGUUUCCUCUUCGGAGGCACCUGCACAGGUGCUGCAUGGCUGUCGUCAGCUCGUGUCGUGAGAUGUUGGGUUAAGUCCCGCAACGAGCGCAACCCUUAUCCCCAGUUGCCAUCAGGUAAAGCUGGGAACUCUGGGGAGACUGCCGGUGAUAAACCGGAGGAAGGCGGGGAUGACGUCAAGUCCUCAUGGCCCUUACAUCCCGGGCUACACACGUGCUACAAUGGCAGGUACAGAGGGCUGCGAAGCCGCGAGGUGGAGCGAAUCCCAGAAAACCUGUCUCAGUCCGGAUUGAAGUCUGCAACUCGACUUCAUGAAGGCGGAAUCGCUAGUAACCGCGAAUCAGCAGGUCGCGGUGAAUACGUUCCCGGGCCUU
rnacentral:rRNA from 1 species